rnacentral:lncRNA from 10 species
UUAGGUCCUUCUUACUGAUGUGUUGCUCUUCUUCAUGGCUCGUGAAAACUAUUAGAGUCAUCCAAGAAAAAAACAAAAAAGAAACCACAUCAAUUAUUUGGUAAGAAUGAGUGAGGAUUAAUACCAGUAAUGGUUUACCUGUAAGUUUCUUCUCCAAAGUGGCCAAAGGUAGAGGCAAAGUGGGUUCUGGGGUAUCCCUGAUUAUUGUCAUUCUGCCUUAGGUCCUGACAUCCACUGCCUUCACUCAAACCCUUCUGGCCAGUUCCAUCCUACAGAUUCUAAGUUCCUGACUCAGAAUCUUACUGUUGUGAACCUUUACACCCAGGUUUGGAGACAGAAAGGAGCACCGCCAAGUGAGGCAGAGCAGUCUCAGAAACAUAGGAAAAUGUAAGAAACUUAAGACUUGGAACAGUUUUUUGUUGUUGUUUUUUUUUUUUUUUUUUUUUUUUUUUUAAUUAGAAGAGGAACAAAGGACAUUGGGUCACAGUUUCUAAAAUAAACAUGAGCAUUAGGGCAUAUAUAAUAGCACAAUAUGAACCAAACUGAUAAAAAGCAGUGUCACAAUAUCUAUGAUAUACAUUUAUGGCUUAUAUGAAUUGAACAUUAACUUCAGUUUAAGGAUGCUUAGUCUUCAUUGUUCAUAGGGAAGAAGUCUUCACAGUUUCAAAGCCUAGAAUGAAAAUUGUGCAGGCCGGGCACGGUGGCUC